AUUGAACGCUGGCGGCAUGCCUUACACAUGCAAGUCGAACGGUAACAGGUCUUCGGAUGCUGACGAGUGGCGAACGGGUGGGUAAUACAUCGGAACGUGCCCGAUCGUGGGGGAUAACGGAGCGAAAGCUUUGCUAAUACCGCAUACGAUCUACGGAUGAAAGCAGGGGACCGCAAGGCCUUGCGCGGACGGAGCGGCCGAUGGCAGAUUAGGUAGUUGGUGGGAUAAAAGCUUACCAAGCCGACGAUCUGUAGCUGGUCUGAGAGGACGACCAGCCACACUGGGACUGAGACACGGCCCAGACUCCUACGGGAGGCAGCAGUGGGGAAUUUUGGACAAUGGGCGAAAGCCUGAUCCAGCCAUGCCGCGUGCAGGAUGAAGGCCUUCGGGUUGUAAACUGCUUUUGUACGGAACGAAAAGACUCUUUCUAAUAAAGAGGGUCCAUGACGGUACCGUAAGAAUAAGCACCGGCUAACUACGUG
rnacentral:rRNA from 1 species